rnacentral:tRNA from 1 species
GGGCGUAUGGUCCAGUGGUUAUGACACCGCGCUCACAUCGCGGUAAUCCGCGGUUCGAAUCCGCGUACGCCCA